UCAAAUCUCUGUAUGAAUGUUGACCUUAAAAUUGGAACAAUACAGAGAAGAUUAGUAUGGCCCAUGCACAAGAAUGACAUGCAAAUUCGUGAAACGUUCCAUAUUUUA